rnacentral:rRNA from 1 species
AACGAACGCUGGCGGCGUGCUUAACACAUGCAAGUCGCGCGAGAAAGUGGGGGCAACUCCAUGAGUAAAGCGGCGCACGGGUGAGUAAUACGUAGGUAACCUACCCUUGAGACCGGGAUAACCUUCCGAAAGGAGGGCUAUACUGGAUAAGACCACGGGGCGUUAGGCUCUGCGGUCAAAGGUGGCCUCUGCACGCAAGCUACCACUCGAAGAUGGGCCUGCGCACCAUUAGCAGUUGGCGAGGUAACGGCUCACCAAGGCGAAGAUGGUUAGCUGAUCUGAGAGGAUGAUCAGCCACACUGGGACUGAGACACGGCCCAGACUCCUACGGGAGGCA